CUGGGGCCAGCAAGGCUCUUGGAAGAUUUCCACGUUUGCGUAGCCCAGCUCCCCACUGGAGUUGUGGUAUGGCAAAAGCGUCCCUCCCGGCUGACCGCAAAGUGGCCUGUGGAGCCCCAUGUGAAUAAAUUCGCCUCACGAGGCGCCCUCUGCAAGGACCACAAGCAGUCUAUGGGGAAAAGUACCUAGAUCCAACCUUACUGGAACGAAGGAAAGACCGGGCCAAACAGAACAGCAUAAAAGCGGGCUGUAGACAUAUGAAAAUGCAGCGUUUUAAAAAAGCUGAUCAUGGCCGGGUGCAGUGGCUUACGCCUGUAAUCCCAGCACUUUGGGAGGCCAAGGCAGGCGGAUCA